GACGAACGCUGGCGGCGUGCUUAACACAUGCAAGUCGAACGGUGAAGCGCCUUCCUUUUUGGUGGGUGUGGAUGAGUGGCGAACGGGUGAGUAACACGUGAGUAACCUGCCCCCUUCUUCUGGAUAACCGCAUGAAAGUGUGGCUAAUACGGGAUAUUCUGGGUCUGUCGCAUGAUGGGUCUGGGAAAGAUAUUGUUUCGGUGGGGGAUGGGCUCGCGGCCUAUCAGCUUGUUGGUGGGGUGAUGGCCUACCAAGGCGGUGACGGGUAGCCGGCCUGAGAGGGUGGACGGUCACACUGGGAGUGAGACACGGCCCAGACUCCUACGGGAGGCAGCAGUGGGGAAUAUUGCACAAUGGGCGCAAGCCUGAUGCAGCGACGCCGCGUGAGGGAUGGAGGCCUUCGGGUUGUGAACCUCUUUCGCCAGUGAAGCAGGACUGCCUCGUUUGUGGGUGGGUUGACGGUAGCUGGAUAAGAAGCGCCGGCUAACUACGUA
rnacentral:rRNA from 1 species